rnacentral:rRNA from 1 species
UACCAGCACCCCGAGUGGUCGGGACGAUUAUUGGGCCUAAAGCAUCCGUAGCCGGCCUUACAAGUCCUCCGUUAAAUCCAGCUGCUUAACAGAUGGGCUGCGGAGGAUACUAUAAGACUAGGAGGCAGGAGAGGCAAGCGGUACUCAGUGGGUAGGGGUAAAAUCCGUUGAUCCAUUGAAGGCCACCAGUGGCGAAGGCGGCUUGCCAGAAUGCGCUCGACGGUUAGGGAUGAAAGCUGGGGGAGCAAACCGG